rnacentral:rRNA from 1 species
AGAGUUUGAUCCUGGCUCAGGAUGAACGCUGGCGGCGUGCUUAACACAUGCAAGUCGAACGAUCCUUCGGGAUAGUGGCGGACGGGUGAGUAACGCGUGGGAAUCUGCCCUUAGGAGGGGGAUAACGGCUGGAAACGGCCGCUAAUACCCCAUAUGCCGAGAGGUGAAACGAAUUUCGCCUGAGGAUGAGCCCGCGUCUGAUUAGCUAGUUGGUGGGGUAAAGGCCUACCAAGGCGACGAACAGUAGCUGGUCUGAGAGGAUGAUCAGCCACACUGGGACUGAGACACGGCCCAGACUCCUACGGGAGGCAGCAGUGGGGAAUUUUCCGCAAUGGGCGAAAGCCUGACGGAGCAACGCCGCGUGAGGGAUGAAGGCCUCUGGGCUGUAAACCUCUUUUCUCAAGGAAGAAGAACUGACGGUACUUGAGGAAUAAGCCACGGCUAAUUCCGUGCCAGCAGCCGCGGUAAUACGGGAGUGGCAAGCGUUAUCCGGAAUUAUUGGGCGUAAAGCGUCCGCAGGCGGCCUUGUAAGUCUGUUGUUAAAGCGUGGAGCUCAACUCCAUUUAAGCAAUGGAAACUACAAGGCUGGAGUGUGGUAGGGGCAGAGGGAAUUCCCGGUGUGGCGGUGAAAUGCGUAGAUAUCGGGAAGAACACCAGUGGCGAAGGCGCUCUGCUGGGCCAUAACUGACGCUCAUGGACGAAAGCCAGGGGAGCGAAAGGGAUUAGAUACCCCUGUAGUCCUGGCCGUAAACGAUGAACACUAGGUGUCGGGGGAAUCGGCCCCCUCGGUGUCGUAGCCAACGCGUUAAGUGUUCCGCCUGGGGAGUACGCACGCAAGUGUGAAACUCAAAGGAAUUGACGGGGGCCCGCACAAGCGGUGGAGUAUGUGGUUUAAUUCGAUGCAACGCGAAGAACCUUACCAGGGUUUGACAUCCUGCGAAUCCCUUGGAAACGAGGGAGUGCCUUCGGGAGCGCAGUGACAGGUGGUGCAUGGCUGUCGUCAGCUCGUGUCGUGAGAUGUUGGGUUAAGUCCCGCAACGAGCGCAACCCACGUCUUUAGUUGCCAGCAUUCAGUUGGGCACUCUAGAGAGACCGCCGGUGAUAAACCGGAGGAAGGUGUGGAUGACGUCAAGUCAUCAUGCCCCUUACAUCCUGGGCUACACACGUACUACAAUGCUACGGACAAAGGGCAGCAAGCUCGCGAGAGUUAGCAAAUCCCAUAAACCGUGGCUCAGUUCAGAUCGUAGGCUGCAACUCGCCUACGUGAAGGAGGAAUCGCUAGUAAUCGCAGGUCAGCAUACUGCGGUGAAUACGUUCCCGGGCCUUGUACACACCGCCCGUCACACCAUGGAAGUUGGCCAUGCCCGAAGUCGUUACUCCAACCCUUGUGGAGGAGGACGCCGAAGGUGGGGCUGAUGACUGGGGUGAAGUCGAAACAAGGUA